GUCCGCAAGGACAAUUUGACAAUUUGACCUCAAAUCAGGUACGACUGGCCCCAGCUAUU
rnacentral:rRNA from 1 species